CUACACUCCAUCUCCUCACAUCCAUCUGGUAUAGUGUCUCUAUGCUUGCAGUUUGAAAGGUUACUACAGGCUCAUCUUCCUCAGCUUUUCUACCAUCUACGAGAGAUCGGAGCCCAGCCGUUACGUAUUGCUUUCAAAUGGAUAGUUAGAGCCUUCUCAGGAUACCUGUCCACUGACCAGCUCCUGUUGUUAUGGGAUCGUAUCCUAGGAUACAAUUCCUUGGAGAUUG